rnacentral:rRNA from 1 species
AUUGAACGCUGGCGGCAGGCCUAACACAUGCAAGUCGAGCGGAUGAAGGGAGCUUGCUCCUGGAUUCAGCGGCGGACGGGUGAGUAAUGCCUAGGAAUCUGCCUGGUAGUGGGGGAUAACGUCCGGAAACGGGCGCUAAUACCGCAUACGUCCUGAGGGAGAAAGUGGGGGAUCUUCGGACCUCACGCUAUCAGAUGAGCCUAGGUCGGAUUAGCUAGUUGGUGGGGUAAAGGCCUACCAAGGCGACGAUCCGUAACUGGUCUGAGAGGAUGAUCAGUCAACCUGAACUGGAACACCGGCCAGGCUCCUAAGGGGGGGCACAGUGGGGAAUAUUGGACAAUGGGCGAAAGCCUGAUCCAGCCAUGCCGCGUGUGUGAAGAAGGUCUUCGGAUUGUAAAGCACUUUAAGUUGGGAGGAAGGGCAGUAAGUUAAUACCUUGCUGUUUUGACGUUACCAACAGAAUAAGCACCGGCUAACUUCGUG